rnacentral:lncRNA from 1 species
UCGUCAGCUCAGUCUGUGAUCGCCGCAUGUUUCAAGGUCCAUUGGACACCUACUCACCCUGCAUCCACCUGUGAGGCCGAAUGCAUUGGGUACUUGUGGCCAUGUCUACAAGUUGAAGUGCACAGAAGUGGAGGCUGUGGAGCAAUUUGGAAGAAUGGACAUUGGCCAAGAUCUUACCUCUGUUACCAAGAUCUCACUCUCUAUGGCUGCCAAUUCUUCAGCCAAAAAGCAAUUAUUGAAGAGAAGAAGAAUCACGGUUUUCUUCUGUGUGCCACAGUAGAAACCACACACCACCUGCACGUGGGAGGAAGAGAAUCAUCGCAGUUGGUACAGAGGCAGCCCCGUGGAGAACAGAAGAUCCUUCACAUGCAAUCAAGACAGAAAGGAGCCACACAUGCAGAUGCCUUUGCUGACACCCCUUUUGCCUUCCUAGGGAACCUGUCUUCAACAUGACUUCAGGGGAGCUGAGUGUCAGCUAAUUGCAUCUGUAGACAGAGGCAGAAGAUGCUUUUUGGCUUGGGUUCAUCUGAUUUGCAUACUCCAGGUGUCCCUGUCAUAGGUAUGCUGUUUAUAACACUGCCUUCUUGAAUUUUCUGGAGUUGAGAACAACAUGGGGUAGAGAAUAUGCACCUUCCCAGGGCUGCAUCUGAGACAUAGUGACAUAAAGUCUCUAGGGACAGAGCAAGCGGGUUGGGUCUGCUCAUUUCACAAGCUUCCUGGUUCCUGGACUUUGGCAGAGGUGAGAAACAAAGAUUUCACUAGACCCCUGCAGAUUGGUAUCAGCAAUCACAUAUUGAAAGAAAGUCCAUUUGUUUCUAAAAGUGACAGGUAAAAUUCUUUGACUCUCUGACUUGAAAGCCCCUAAUCUACUCACACUUUUAUACAACCCUCUACAAUAUAUCUUCAUGACUUUUCUUUUUCAUCAAUAUGGCAAGAAUGUUAUAGAUGUCAACCAAGAAACAGCUCUUACCUCAAAUGUGAUUUAUUCUGGAACAAAAUAUGAGUGAGCAUAGCCCACAUGUUCAGGCUAUCCCAAGCACCAUGUUCUGAUGAGGUAGCAAUUUCAUGAAGUUAUUAUAGGAACAGAACAAAGCAGGUCAUAAGUCAAUGUGCUUUACAAAUCCAUGUCCAGGGGGAAAGCCAGGCAGGCUUCAGUGUAUCAGGGAAAUCUCAGAUACUAAUGAUCUCAGCCUUUGGUUAGUGGGAACUACAGGUCUGAUUGAACAUUCCAAAGGAUUUAUAUAAUUUUCAAGAUGUUAGGUCACAUAGAAAGGAGGGUAAUAAAUGGUUAUUAAGAGCCA